UGGGGAAUAUUGGACAAUGGGGGCAACCCUGAUCCAGCCAUGCCGCGUGCGUGAAGAAGGCCUUAGGGUUGUAAAGCGCUUUCACUGGUGAAGAUGAUGACGGUAGCCAGAGAAGAAGCCCCGGCUAACUCCGUGCCAGCAGCCGCGGUAAUACGGAGGGGGCAAGCGUUGUUCGGAAUUACUGGGCGUAAAGCGCACGUAGGCGGCCAAUCAAGUCAGGGGUGAAAUCCCGGGGCUCAACCCCGGAACUGCCCUUGAAACUGGUAGGCUAGAAUACUGGAGAGGUGAGUGGAAUUCCGAGUGUAGAGGUGAAAUUCGUAGAUAUUCGGAAGAACACCAGUGGCGAAGGCGACUCACUGGACAGUUAUUGACGCUGAGGUGCGAAAGCGUGGGGAGCAAACAGGAUUAGAUACCCCGGUAGUCC
rnacentral:rRNA from 1 species